ensembl:lncRNA
GUUGCUGGGUUUUUGGGUGUCACUGCCACUUGGCAGUGGGCCAGGGUUGUGGGCAACACUGCCACCACCAUGAGGGAGGGGUAACUGGGUGGCGAGCACUGCCAGGGUUCCUGAAGCCUCUGGUCUCAGGUGCCAGUGUGAUUCCUGGGACCUCAAGUCACAAGCACCACCACCACUGCCAGGGGUGUCAGGGUCUUGGAUGCAGCCCUCACUACUGGGAGGGCUUGGGUUGAAGUUGCUGUUGCCAAGAGAAGGGGAGAAGGCAAGGUCACAGGUGUCAUUGUGGUUCCUAGAACCUCCAGUAUUGGUGUCACUCAGAGUGUGGGCUGCUUGGGUUCCUGGGGCUCCAUUUGUGGGUAUUACUGUCAUUCCUGGGGCCUUAGGUUACAGGCGCAGCUACAGUUCCUGGAGACUCUGGUCUCGGAAGCUGCCACCGCUGCUCUGCUGUUUCCACCUCCAGGAGGUCCAAUCUACCCACCUUCAGAUGUAUAGAUACAUGGAUCUCUCAGGAAAAUUUUCCACAAGAAACGAAAGAAAAUGGCAACCACUUAAUCUGGACAGGAAAGUGAAUCAAGGAAAGAAGAAGACAGGCAUCUAGCAAGUGCCUCCCCUCUGGUGAUCAAAGUGCUAAAUGCGCCCACCUGCAUGGUCUCCUUACAUCUCUACUCUUAGGGAGAAGUGUGAUUUGACUAUUCUACAGGCAAUAAACUAGACUUAGAGAGAUGAAGGAACUUUUCCAAGGUUACCCAGUUCGUGCCGGUCACCAAGUCAGCCUCAAUCUUUCCAACAGAAUCGUAGAACUCCCCUCAGUCUGGAUAAGGACAUCGAGGAAGCUAUCACUCUCCUCUUUUCUAAUUGGAUGCCUCUCUCCUCCUGCUCCAAUCUGGACUGGCUGCUCUCUCCGGUGGCAUAGCUGUCAUCCAAGAUUUCUCUCCACCACCUGAAGCUGCUGUCUCCUGGAUCCCAUGUCUCCUGUCUUCAUGGUUUUCUCCCUUGUCUCGGUAGAAGAACUCAUGUGGUAGCUUUCUGGGUACACAAGAGAUAACACUUUGGAGAUCAUUUAUUUCUGAAAAUGCCUUUAUUCCACCUUCAUCUUUGAUUGAUCGUUUGGAUAUGGAAUCAAGAUUGUACCAAACAAAUCCCAGAAUUCUCUGAGGGCUUGUUUCUUGGGAUCACUCCUGGUACUAAUUCCUAUAUCAGCCAGGAUUCAGUUGGAAAACAGAAAUCACAUUACUUAUUUUAAAGAGGGAAUUUAAUAUACAGAAGGUUAAAUGGGUGUUGGAGAACUGAAGAGGGAAAGGAGAUACGAAGGUAACACAAAGACAAUAACUGUGGGAAGCAGCUAGCAUAUGGGCAACAAGGGAAGGAGCUGGGAUCCUUCGAACCCUGAAGCUUGAAGCAGGAGCUCCAUGGUGCUAAGAUCCAGCCCUCAGGAGAAGAGGUGUUGCAGCCAGUGCUGAGAUCUCUGAGAGGACUCCUACAAUAUAUCUCGUCAUUCCUCAAGUCUCAGUAUGUGUUGACUGGCCUUACAAAGGACGAACUGCUCAAAGGCUGAGUGGAAUAGCUGUGUGUGGGCAGGGCUCUCUGAUUGCUGGACGCCACUAUAGGAUAUUCAAGUCACUGAAGCUUACAGACGUUAAAUAACGUACCCCCAGUCAUCAUGCAAUGACUUCUAUCUGUGGGAUUCUUUCCACUAUACCAUGAACGAAAAGGGGAGGAUUUGAGGGUGACAAGGUUGGGAGGGAGGGGCUUCUCUGUGUCCUUGAAUCAAUUGUGAGAGGCUGACCUCUACUGGAUCGUACAGCACUUGAACACCAAAAGGAAGAAAUAGUUUUCCUAGCCUCAAAUGAUUUUUUCUCACAUUUUGGAGAGGAAUCUGUUUAAAAGGUAUGCCAAGUGCCUACUACUUAGAAAAUACUGGACUAAAUGCCAAGGUAAAGCAAAUAGAAAUUGAUUGGACUGUGUAAGUCACAGCAGGGAUGAAAGGCACACCUCCUACGCCCAGUGUGCUCAGCUUCACCAGGGAGGUAUCUCCAAAUAGCACAAGUUCUCUUCCAGAGGAACCGGAAGACCCAGGUCUUGAAAGAAGCAGCCCUUCUCUGGGUUUACACUCCUCAUAUUGUAUCCCAUGUUUUAUAAUAUGCACAUCUGCAUUGCGUCAUUAUUUUUGUCCCAUUGUCCAUUUGUUUUGUGCAACAUUGGUUCUUUAAGCAGCCAUGUUCACUGAGACUCACAUAAAAUGGGUCUGAGAUGUAGAGAACUGCCUCUUAUGAAUGUUUUAUUUACUUAUCUAUCAUUCUUAUCAGUGGCCUUCUCCCCUGUCUCUGGUUACCUUUUUCACUUAGCUAGCCAACUGAGAAUUAGAUGAAGGAUGGAAAUAGAUUGGCAGUUUGCCUUCAGCUGCUAGACAAGGGUUCUUUCUUUCUGUGGUUUAGUUUCACAAAGGGUUUUGUAGGCAUUGGAAGUUUUGGUACAAAGCAGCGCGGCCUAAAGGCUGCAGCCCAGAAGGGCGAGCGAGGAGGUCAGUGUCCUUGUCUUCAUGCUGCCAGCUUUGGAUGUGAUGAAGUCACUUAUAUCUCUUGUUGCCCCUUUUUUGUAUUUAGAAAAUUAUUUUGAAUUAUAGUAGAUUAUUAUGAUUUUACAUUUUAUUUGAAAAUAAGUUCUAACUUGAGAAUGUGUCUACUGGAGCUGUAAGCGCACAGCCUGGAUGGCAUCAUCUGGCAGCUCACAAUCAUGUACAAAAUCAUUCUGCAUAUAAAAGAAGCAAUUUGCCAUUAAUUUAUAAUGUUUUUAUUGUGCUUUUCUUAUUGCAAAAGUAUUUCAUGCAGAAAAUUUGAAAAAUACUGAUAAGCAACAAAUAAAUAUAUAAAAACCACUUGAAUCUUGCCACCUAAAGAUAUCCACUGAUAACAUGUUAUAUUAUUCUUUAGGCUUUUUAAAUGCAUAUUUUCACAUAGGCAGUAUUAUGCUGUUUACAAUGUUUUUUGAACUUCUUUUUCUCUCAAUAAUAUGUCUGAAUAUUUUUCCGUGUCAUACAAUCUUCUAGAAUAUCAUAUUUCAUGGUUGUGUAGUAUUUUGUCAUGUAGAUAUAUCAUAAUUUAUUUGACUGUACCUUUUUUUAGGGACAUUUAAUUUAUAUCCAACAUUUUAUCAUUUUAAAUACUUCUGUCCUAAAAAUCUUUGUUGCUAAGUCUUUGUGCGUAAUCAUACUUUAUUCUUUAGGAUCAAAGUCUAAGGGUACAAAAAAUUUAAGGGUUUUGAUAUUUGUUGCCCACUUGACCCCAAGAAAGUUGUCUCAACGUAUACUUCUGUGCAUUGAAUCGCCCCUGGGACAAUAGCAGAUGAUAGAUUAUUUUAAUGUUUUGCCAAUCUGAUAGAUUAAAAGUGUCACAUAUGUAUUUAAAUUUCCUUGAUUAUUGACAUUGAACAAUUUUUGGACUUUUACAAUAUACUUACCGAUUUUUUUUAUCUAUAAAAGCUCUUUAUUUUAAUUUGUAUGUAUUUACAUAUUUAAGUGUCUAAAGCUCUGGAGACAAACUGCCUGGGUCGAGCCCGAGCUCUGUCGGGUUUGGUUGUGCUUACAAAGGCCUACCCCCAAGACUACAGGAAAGUUAACUUCUAUUUUUUUCAGGUGCUUUUAAGUCCGAUUUUCUACAUUUCUACAUUUAAAAACCUACGAUAGUGGCCGUGCUGGUUAUUCUCCCCUUUUCCCUCCAGAUCCGCUUCCUAUCCUUUCCAGCUGCUCUGUGCCAUAAGAGACUGAGGAACGGACUGCCUCAAUGGGCUGACCUGCCUUCUGGCUUUUGGUUGGGUCCAGGCAAUGGCUAGCAGUGAAAGGAAAGGCGGAGAGUGGACUAUUAGACUAUACAGAGCGUCAUGUGCUGGGCUGGAGAGUUCGGAAUUAAUUCUAUACCUAGAGGGAGACUGAGAGGGAUUUGACGUAGGGGAGGAAGAUCAAAGAUCAAAGUGCAAAGUAGGACAGUGAAUUUGAUGGCCCUGGGAAGCCUUGAGGAAGGCUGAAGACAGGAAGCCCCAUGGGGACUGCUGAGGUUGCAGCUAUGACGCUGAACUGGCAGAUGUUGACUGUGAGUGAGGAAAAUAAUAGAGACCUGAUUUAAGACACAUUUCCAAAGAAAAUGAACUGGUCUUCGGGGUGAAUAUUUUAAGUGUAAGGAAAUGAGUAGUGACACUACUGUGGUAUCAUUUCUAGCCCUGGCGAUUGCCUUUCUUGAGUGACAUCCCUCAUGGAACUUUGCAGGGGGAUCCCACUUGGCAGCUGGUAAAGAGAACAACCCCCUGCGUCAUCAUAUUACUAAAGCCACACAAUAUUUCUGCCCUUUCUCUUUUCUCUGGUUUCCAGGCCUUGGAAUAUUAUAAUUUCUUGAAAAGUUAUACUUAAAAUAACAACGACUAACUUCAUUGAGUACCACUCCCCCUCCUUUUUUUCUUAGUACUUACAUAUUAUCUCAUUUAAUAUUCUUGUUCCUAGUUAGCCUAAAUGUUAUUGCCUCAUUUUCAACUGAAAAUGCUAGUUGGGAGGGAGCAUGGAAUAGUGAAGAGCACGGGCAGGGGUCAAGCAGAGCUGGUUCCAAGCAAAAUGGGGCAGCUCUGUAUGUAUUUCCUCCUAGAGAUUCCCUAGCCUGCUCAUGUGUUGUCCUUUGGUAACUUCCUUAUCCCCUAAAUACUUUCCUUGAAAAUCUGAUUUCAUCUGGGUAAAGUAUAUGAGAAGGUAGGAAGGAGGGAGAAUUUAAUUACUUUGAGAGAGAUGGUGGAUUUGGCUGUCUUUACUGUUGGUGUUACUUUCUCUUAGGCAUUUUUCAAAAUAAGAAUUUUGGUCUAAUAAUUUAGCAAUGGUGAUUGUGUUGACUGUUCACAAUGGAAGAGACUUCAGGUACUAUAUAAUCCAAUCUCUUCAUUUUGCCCACAAGGACACCAAAAUUCAGAUGCCCCUCUCUAUCCCCUUGGUCUGUUCAACACCGGAAGUCUUUUGGCUUCCAUUAAAUCUAUUGGUGCCUGGUAAAAGGUGACAACCCUCAUCAUGAGCCCCGGGGCACUCCUCCAGCCCGCUGGUGAUUUCUGCAUGUUGACAGCACCUAUUCAGAUUUUAUAUUUGCUUUGUUGGGUGUUGAUUUUGAUGAGGACUAGAACCUGCUGGAGGCUACGUAGGGCGCAAAGAUGAGCGCAAGUGAUCUUUGCUCAGUGGGUUCAAUAGGCGAAAUGGAGGAAGUACAGCUGUGACCUGUGGGACAACAAGGCAUGAUUUUAUCUGGAAAGGUCUCCACAAGUAGCAGAAAUUCGGCAGGAUUAACCCAUUUUCAGUAGAAAAUGCUUUCAGGACAGGAAUGCUAUUCACUUUUCCUUGGUUUUAGAUUUUCCUCUUUGUCUUUUUCUCCAUUCUCCAAGUUUUCUGUCAUGAACGUCUUACCUUGGUCUUCAGAGAAAUUUAUUUUAUAUGUAUUUAUCUGUAUCUAUAUCAUAAUUUCUAAAAGAAAUAAAAUGCCUGGAGGAAGCAGCUCUGAAAACUCUGUGGGGAAUUUUGUGGGGAAGAUUGUAAGGGAAGCCCUGAACAACAUUUCCUAAAGUGCUCAGUGGGAAGCGAUCUUGGAAAAACCCUUCCUUGGCCAAAUACACUUGGAGUGAUGUGCUCCAGCCCCUUCUUGGACACUUAUAAUGCCCAUUAAGGGCUCUGGAACUUUCUGCAGGAAAAUAAAAUAAAACAAAACAUAAAAUUUUGUCUUAAUUCUUUUAAGUCAGUGUUUCUAAACAUAUUUGAUUUGAGACUACUUUUUGUGUCUGAACAUUCCAACAAGACCAGUAUUUUGUGAAACAUACUUUGGGAGAGUGCCCUAAAACGAGUUCCACAGAAACUCUGUUGCAGCCCUCGGGUCUCAGGAUAAACCUUCUAGAGCCUGCGGCAAACGAAACAGUGAUGUCUCUUCUCUCCUCUAUUGGUGUCCAGGUGAACACCACUUAAAGUGAACAUUAGAGCCUGGCUUUAAGUGGAAAAGAAGUCCCAAAACCCUGCAACGUGGAGUAGAAGAGGAGGUGUCUUAAUGGGGGAGGCCAGACUUAUGGCCUCUUGGCUGGGGCUGCACUUACAUUAGUGUAGCUGGGAGGGCCUCUUCGCUUCUUGGCAGACUUCCCAGGUUGCUGAUCCGGAGGCUGGCUGCGGCUGCUCCCCCAGCCAGGAGGGGGCACCUCUCUUCUCUACUGGAGGUGCAGAGAGAUGAAAUCUGCAUGUGCUCUGAGUCCAUGCACACGCAGCAUGUGUACAGCACUCUUCAGGGCACCCUGGGACCACUAAAGGAGACAGUCUCACUCUUACCUUACUGAGCUAACAAUCUAGUUGAGGAGAUAAGGCACAUACACAUGGAAUGUCAGAAAAUGUAAGGUGACGAUUGUGGACUUUGUCAUGUGAUAUAGAUUUUAAGGAAUUGCAUGCAUUUAGAGGAGAAGAGGGCAUCAGUCAGCCUGGGGUGAUCAGGAAAGCCUUAGCUAUAGUAUGGGAGGUAGGGCCGGAGGAAUGAAUAGAAUUUGAAAAGAUAGGGACCAGAGGGGAAGGCAGUCAUGCGGGGGAAAGGCCUGAAAGAAACACAUGAUUUGUUCAGGGACUGCAUUGCCAAGUCCCUUUAGGAAGCCUCAGGCCACUCUGAAAGGUGCCACACUCAGCAGGAUUUUUCAGCAUUGUAGACCUAGGCAUCUCCUCCAUGAGUUCUCCACUAGCUACCCUUGUCUCUGGUAUGGCGGCCAUCGUUGAGUAGCCCGUCCAUUAUGCUCAGUUACUGGCUUGCUCUUAUGUCCUAUGGGUACAUCGUGUUUCCUAGUUAGGCCUGUGAGCUAACAUGGCAGGCAUGAGCACAACAGUCUUAUUCUCUGCUUCCCCUUCCUUGCCUACCCAUCUACCCUAAGCAUGUCACCCAGUGCUUGGCAUAGCUCAUGUAUUCAGUAAAUGUCUGUUGAUGGAUCCGUUGGAUUCUGAAUAAAACUUUUGCUUAGGUGUACGUCUAUGACCUCAUUAUGUCAUCAGUGAGUGUUAGUGUCCCCAUUUCAUUAGGCGUAGAAAAGGAGGACGGAGGACCAACACACUCCGAUGUUGCGUAACCUCAGGUAGUUAUAGGGCUUAGUCUAAAAUCUAAUUCUCUUUUCAGGCUUAAGAGUCCUUUGUUUGCGCAACUCAGUGUAACUGUAAACAUUUGCUGAGUCCUGUCCUCAGUCUAGUUUGAGGGGUGUGUGUGUGUGUGUGUGUGUGUUUAUAGAGGCGGGAGGGGAAGAGGAAGGAGAAACUGCAAAGACGAUUGGGAUGUAGUUCUACCCUCAAGAAGCUUACAUUCUAGUAAAAGAACCAGGGAGAGCACUCUCACCUGUAAAGGAGUUGGAGGCCAGCUUUUCGGGGUGUAGGGUAUGAGG